GGGACCUGGGACACUGAUGAUGUAUAUAACCCUCUCAUCCAGACCAAAGCUACCAACAGAAAAAUCAGAGAAAGGGCAUCCUAUCAGUGAGACACAUCCCUUCUACAGUGCCACAAGGACAGUUACAUUUGUGAAGCUGAGGAAGCUUAUGGAGGUUUAGAAGUCCACAAACAAACAUAAAUUGACAGAUCUACCUAGAGUGAACAAGUUAUGAAGAAUUGAAAAGACGAAGAAAUGAAAAUAAAGAUUACAAUUCUUCCA
rnacentral:lncRNA from 1 species